rnacentral:rRNA from 1 species
UACAGAGGGUGCGAGCGUUGUUCGGAAUUAUUGGGCGUAAAGCGCUUGUAGGCGGCCUGUCAAGUCGCGUGUGAAAUCCCCCUGGCUUAACCAGGGAAGUGCGCGCGAAACUGAAGGGCUUGAGUGCCGGAGAGGGUCGCGGAAUUCCCGGUGUAGAGGUGAAAUUCGUAGAUAUCGGGAGGAACACCAGUGGCGAAGGCGGCGACCUGGGUCGAGACUGACGCUGAGGCGCGAAAGCGUGGGAGCAAACAGG